CUCGUAGGCGGUUUGUCGCGUCGAAUGUGAAAACCCGGGGCUCAACUCCGGGCCUGCAUUCGAUACGGGCAGACUAGAGUUCGGUAGGGGAGACUGGAAUUCCUGGUGUAGCGGUGAAAUGCGCAGAUAUCAGGAGGAACACCGGUGGCGAAGGCGGGUCUCUGGGCCGAUACUGACGCUGAGGAGCGAAAGCGUGGGGAGCAAACA
rnacentral:rRNA from 1 species